UCUGUAAAUCCUAACGUCACUUGUCUCCAUUGAUGGAAAAUGCGACCGAAUUGAGCCCUAAUGCUUCACUCCUCAUCGUCUUCCUCGCUUCGGCAUAGUGUUAAUUGUGGGCAACAUCAUCGCACACUUCCAAUGGUUCUUGUUUCUCGAAAGCGAGAAGAUCGGGAUCUCAACAUCUCUAUGCUGCAAUCAGAGAAGUCGACGGGGAAUAAGGGAGCUUAACUUUUUGGGCUUGGCUAAUAGUCCGAUCGUAUAUUAAAAGUGCAGACUUAGGAGCUUAUUCAGUCACCCGCCACUGCAGAGUAGCAUUUCCAAAUACAUCAACACCUAGGGAUGCAACAGUGAGUCUUUGACCUUCCAGCCUAUCUCGACGUGUCUAUAACGAUUACGAGCACAUUUGGGACACACAGAGCCAGAGGCUGAUAGCCCGCUAGUAAUAUUGGAAAUUUAAUUACAUUUUUAACAUAAAUUAUUGAUUCUACCGUAUUCUGAUGUUUAUUCUACGUCCGACAAAAUCGAAUGUUUUUUCAUAGUUAAAUUUAGCGUCCACAAGAAUCUCGAUGCAACAUUCUAACAG